rnacentral:rRNA from 1 species
AAAUUGAAGAGUUUGAUCAUGGCUCAGAUUGAACGCUGGCGGCAGGCCUAACACAUGCAAGUCGAACGGUAACAGGAAGCAGCUUGCUGCUUUGCUGACGAGUGGCGGACGGGUGAGUAAUGUCUGGGAAACUGCCUGAUGGAGGGGGAUAACUACUGGAAACGGUGGCUAAUACCGCAUAAUGUCGCAAGACCAAAGAGGGGGACCUUCGGGCCUCUUGCCAUCAGAUGUGCCCAGAUGGGAUUAGCUUGUUGGUGAGGUAACGGCUCACCAAGGCGACGAUCCCUAGCUGGUCUGAGAGGAUGACCAGCCACACUGGAACUGAGACACGGUCCAGACUCCUACGGGAGGCAGCAGUGGGGAAUAUUGCACAAUGGGCGCAAGCCUGAUGCAGCCAUGCCGCGUGUAUGAAGAAGGCCUUCGGGUUGUAAAGUACUUUCAGCGGGGAGGAAGGUGUUGCGGUUAAUAACCGCAGCAAUUGACGUUACCCGCAGAAGAAGCACCGGCUAACUCCGUGCCAGCAGCCGCGGUAAUACGGAGGGUGCAAGCGUUAAUCGGAAUUACUGGGCGUAAAGCGCACGCAGGCGGUCUGUCAAGUCGGAUGUGAAAUCCCCGGGCUCAACCUGGGAACUGCAUUCGAAACUGGCAGGCUUGAGUCUUGUAGAGGGGGGUAGAAUUCCAGGUGUAGCGGUGAAAUGCGUAGAGAUCUGGAGGAAUACCGGUGGCGAAGGCGGCCCCCUGGACAAAGACUGACGCUCAGGUGCGAAAGCGUGGGGAGCAAACAGGAUUAGAUACCCUGGUAGUCCACGCCGUAAACGAUGUCUACUUGGAGGUUGUGCCCUUGAGGCGUGGCUUCCGGAGCUAACGCGUUAAGUAGACCGCCUGGGGAGUACGGCCGCAAGGUUAAAACUCAAAUGAAUUGACGGGGGCCCGCACAAGCGGUGGAGCAUGUGGUUUAAUUCGAUGCAACGCGAAGAACCUUACCUGGUCUUGACAUCCACAGAACUUUCCAGAGAUGGAUUGGUGCCUUCGGGAACUGUGAGACAGGUGCUGCAUGGCUGUCGUCAGCUCGUGUUGUGAAAUGUUGGGUUAAGUCCCGCAACGAGCGCAACCCUUAUCCUUUGUUGCCAGCGGUCCGGCCGGGAACUCAAAGGAGACUGCCAGUGAUAAACUGGAGGAAGGUGGGGAUGACGUCAAGUCAUCAUGGCCCUUACGACCAGGGCUACACACGUGCUACAAUGGCGCAUACAAAGAGAAGCGACCUCGCGAGAGCAAGCGGACCUCAUAAAGUGCGUCGUAGUCCGGAUUGGAGUCUGCAACUCGACUCCAUGAAGUCGGAAUCGCUAGUAAUCGUGGAUCAGAAUGCCACGGUGAAUACGUUCCCGGGCCUUGUACACACCGCCCGUCACACCAUGGGAGUGGGUUGCAAAAGAAGUAGGUAG